rnacentral:rRNA from 1 species
UGGGGAAUAUUGGACAAUGGGCGCAAGCCUGAUCCAGCCAUGCCGCGUGAGUGACGAAGGCCUUAGGGUUGUAAAGCUCUUUUGGCGGGGAAGAUAAUGACGGUACCCGCAGAAUAAGCUCCGGCUAACUUCGUGCCAGCAGCCGCGGUAAUACGAAGGGAGCUAGCGUUGUUCGGAAUCACUGGGCGUAAAGCGCACGUAGGUGGGCAGUUAAGUCAGGGGUGAAAUCCUGGGGCUCAACCCCAGAACUGCCUUUGAUACUGGCUGUCUCGAGGUCGAGAGAGGUUGGUGGAAUUCCUAGUGUAGAGGUGAAAUUCGUAGAUAUUAGGAAGAACACCAGUGGCGAAGGCGGCCAACUGGCUCGAUACUGACGCUGAGGUGCGAAAGCGUGGGGAGCAAACAGGAUUAGAUACCCCUGUAGUCCCUGAGCGGGCUGGCAAGGCGCAU